rnacentral:tRNA from 1 species
GGGCCAGUAGCUCAGUCGGUUAGAGCAAUUGCCUCUUAAGCAAUGUGUCGUGGGUUCGAGUCCCACCUGGCUCA